rnacentral:tRNA from 2 species
GGCGCGGUGGCCUAAUGGUAAGGCGUUGCUUUCCGGAGACCGAGGGCAAAAAAGUCCCCGGCAAGACCAUAAUGGUCCUGGAGCAUGGCAAAGAUUGUGGGUUCGAGUCCCAUCCGCGUCG